rnacentral:lncRNA from 1 species
CACAAGCCACUCCCACUCUUUCAUCUCCUCUUUUAAAAGCCUUCUUCAACUAUUUCUCACGAGUGCAAUGAGAAUCUUCCAAAGUUAAUUGAAGGAAAUUUGCAUAGUCUGCAUCCCAACUACAGAAAGAAAUAGGAGGUAAUUUUCCACUACACUAGUAGCUUUCUUAAUAACAUAAUGUUAUUUAGCUCCACGAGAGUUACAUUUCCAGUUUAGAUGACGUUAAUGUGAUAUUAAAUUAUUAGUGACAUUAUUGAAAUAGCUAAUAACGUAGUCAAAAUUAUUUUUUGAGAUAAACUAAUUGUUAAAUGGAUGGAUUCAAUCUAUUCGUCCUUGUGUUGCAACAAAAAUGAAAGGUUUGAGAUAGCGAUUGAUAAAAAUAAAAAGUUUGAAUAAAGUCUGUAAAAAAUAUAUAUAUUGGGGACCGUGGCUGCAAUUCUCUCUAAAAUCAAUUUCAUGAUGAAUUUGAAUCACUUAUUCAAGAUAAGAAAGCAAAGUGCAAAGUGAUAUCACUUAUUCAAGAUAACUUAUUAGAAUUUAUUUUUUCCUGUCCUCUAUGAUAAUUAAUUAUACAUAUAUAUCAACUUGAACUGUCAAUUAUCAUUAAAGCAACUCCAUUAUGUGGGUCUUUGUGCUAAAACAUAAUCAUCCUAUAGGUAGACACUUUUGUUGGGAGAAAAAGUGAGAGACAUCUUUUUUCACUUGAAUAAUUAUUUUGGUUCUGUUCAUAGUCUUCAUUUUAGAAAACCUUGUAGAUACAAAAUGCUCUUAUGUGCCUCGAAAGAUCGAAGAGAUUUUGCACGAAGUCCCUGCAAAGUCGUUAUCAAGUCAUUCUCAUAAAUACAUGACGAGUUGAUCUCUAUUCAAUCUGGUAUCUUAAUUCUACUAAUUUAUUUGCUUCUGAUGUGUUUGAUCACAUUUUGCUUGCACGAAUAUGACCUUAUUUAUUGUUUUCAUUAAUUUACCUAUUCAACUUUUUUUCUCAUAACUUUUUAAGAUGAUCGUGUAUUUUGUAGUUAUAUUUAUAUCGAGAUACACAAAUAACUGAUUAUGAUUACCUAAUUUGCAACUGCCUAUGAUCAUUAUCUCGACUUGCCACGUUUUUGUUUUUC